CCAUGAAAACUCAAAAACACUUUUGAAGGGAAAAAGUUUAGCUAAUUUUCUCAACUUUGUGGCCCCAGUGUAACUUUAGAAAACCCUCACUGGCUCCAUUUGCAGUUAUGUUCCAAGCCUGCAGAAAAAGAUAACGGCACACAGGCAAAACUCAAGGAAGUGACCAAACAUGUCAUCUGGUGCAAAGCUUCAACUCCUGCCUCGUAAGUGAGGCCUGUGACUAAGAUCGGAAAAGAGGAGGAGUGUGUGCCGGCGUUGCCAAACCAAUACUGCAGAGAAGAGAACAAAGCUUUGCUCCUCAGAAAAAAGGUGAUGCCUGCCUCGGACCCGCCGUGCCAGAACAUCGUCCAGACCGAAUGUUUUGGCAAAAGAACCGGCAGAGAGCCGGGUCAAGGGGAUCGAGAGUGGUGGACGUACAGAAGAGGACGGCGGUGUUUGGAGCCGGUCUGGUGUGGAAGUGUGGAGGUGUGGUGAGGUCUCAGGGAGGGGAUGGGCACCGAGGGGCGAGUCAGCUUAAUUAUACAACAUUGCUGCCACUAUAACACCACAGAGCCCAGUCAUUAAGACAAAAAAGUGGAGCAUGGAGGAGAGCCACAGACUGUCUGAAUUCUUCUUGGCUCUUUUGUCUGUUGUUAACACAGUUAUAUAUAAGUCUUAACAGCCUGGUUUAAACUUGUGGUAAACAAAUGGGUUGUAAGGAGUAAAAGAUUCCCAUUCACUCUGCUGUGUGAGCUAAUCCAUUUCAAAUUAAAAGUCAGAAUUUGGGAAAACAUUUUAGCACCAGCUAUUAAUAUUGUUUGUGUUAAGCACUGACUACUUAACCAUUAAUUUAUCUGAAACUUCUAUCUCAUUAAGAUGAUUCAAAUCUUCCUUAAAACCCAUAGUAAAGGAUUUGGUUAAUGUUUUCUGUCAUGUAGUUCAUCAUCAUUCCACUAGAGGCAGUAGAAGGACUUUUCCUGCUCAUUUCAAAAUGCCUUCUUCUAUGAAAUCUGAAACAACACUUUUGGUGGGAAUUUUUUUUGGUGCUAAUUUUCAAAAAUAUUAAUGUGAGAAUAUCUCCUUUAUAGUUAUUGGUUUUUAAAUGACUAUGUUAGAGUGAAGCGAUGAAUGCACCUUUAAGUUUUGUUAGAGUGCGAUGAGCGCACCAAUAUUUUUUUGUCUUGGGACUAUUUUGUUUGACGCAAGGUUACACAGCUGUAUAAAUAAAGGCGAAGCCUCCUGUCCUAUGUGCGCUUAAGUGACGGACAUCAUGGUUACCGGAGCAGUGACGACGUGUCCAAAGGCUUUUCCAGUACCGGGCAGUGUGUGUCAUAAAGCAAAGAUAUGACAAACUACUUACUGUAUUUUAAAUAUUAUAACAAUUCUUUAUAAUGCAGUUUCAGGAUAUCACUGGCAUAUAUAAAGAUGGACAAACACCUGUGAUAUCACCCAUAGAAAAUACCUUACCUCCAAUGAAAUGAAAUCAAUUCAGACGCCAUUUUUCUACAAUACAGACUUCGCCAUUUUGGACUCAGUGAUUGGUCCAAGUCGGUCUGAUUUCUAUUGCAACCGCUCUGGCUAAUCAGGAGUGAGCUUGUG